GACGAACGCUGGCGGCGUGCCUAACACAUGCAAGUCGAACGGAAAGGCCCUGCUUUUGUGGGGUGCUCGAGUGGCGAACGGGUGAGUAACACGUGAGUAACCUGCCCUUGACUUUGGGAUAACUUCAGGGAACUGGGGCUAAUACCGGAUAGGAGCUCCUGCUGCAUGGUGGGGGUUGGAAAGUUUCGGCGGUUGGGGAUGGACUCGCGGCUUAUCAGCUUGUUGGUGGGGUAGUGGCUUACCAAGGCUUUGACGGGUAGCCGGCCUGAGAGGGUGACCGGCCACAUUGGGACUGAGAUACGGCCCAGACUCCUACGGGAGGCAGCAGUGGGGAAUAUUGCACAAUGGGCGGAAGCCUGAUGCAGCAACGCCGCGUGCGGGAUGACGGCCUUCGGGUUGUAAACCGCUUUCGCCUGUGACGAAGCGUGAGUGACGGUAAUGGGUAAAGAAGCACCGGCUAACUACGUG
rnacentral:rRNA from 1 species